rnacentral:lncRNA from 1 species
UGUUGUAAUGGUGAAUCGGGAUUUUUAAUGAAGUGGGUUUGAAUACUCUUGACUGUUUUGUGAAAUCGAAGUUACAUCUGUGAUUGAAGAAUUAAAAGGGUGUCUAUAGGAUUGAGUAUGCGGAGUGAAUGAAAUUUAUUGGGUUAAUGUAACGAGACAGUCAGUGGAUAUAAGAUCUUGAGUAUAAAGCGGUGUCGUGUUGUGGUUCGGCUACUAUAUGAAAAUAAUGUAAUUAUGUA